GUGCCAGCAGCCGCGGUAAAACGUAGGGGGCGAGCGUUGUCCGGAAUUACUGGGCGUAAAGGGCGCGUAGGCGGUUAUUUAAGUCAGAGGUGAAAACUACCGGCUCAACCGGUAGCCUGCCUUUGAAACUGGAUGACUUGAGGGCAGGAGAGGGGAGUGGAAUUCCCAGUGUAGCGGUGAAAUGCGUAGAUAUUGGGAGGAACACCAGUGGCGAAGGCGGCUCUCUGGCCUGUUUCUGACGCUGAGGCGCGAAAGCGUGGGGAGCAAACGGGAUUAGAAACCCCAGUAGUCC
rnacentral:rRNA from 1 species